GAUCCUGGCUCAGGAUGAACGCUAGCUACAGGGCUUAACACAUGCAAGUCGAGGGGAAACGAUAUUGGAAGCUUGCUUCCGAUAGGCGUCGACCGGCGCACGGGUGAGUAACGCGUAUCCAACCUGCCCAUCACUUGGGAAUAACCUUGCGAAAGUAAGACUAAUGCCCAAUGACAUUUAUAGAAGGCAUCUGAAAUGAAUUAAAGAUUUAUCGGUGAUGGAUGGGGAUGCGUCUGAUUAGCUUGUUGGCGGGGUAACGGCCCACCAAGGCGACGAUCAGUAGGGGUUCUGAGAGGAAGGUCCCCCACAUUGGAACUGAGACACGGUCCAAACUCCUACGGGAGGCAGCAGUGAGGAAUAUUGGUCAAUGGGCGAGAGCCUGAACCAGCCAAGUAGCGUGCAGGAAGACGGCCCUAUGGGUUGUAAACUGCCUUUUAUAGGGGAAUAAAGUGAGCCACGUGUGGUUUUUUGCAUGUUACCCUAUGAAUAAGGACCGGCUAAUUCCGUG
rnacentral:rRNA from 1 species